UGUGUAGCCACAGGCAGACAAGCUCAGUGCUCAGGAACAUAAUGGCUGGAGCCCGCGGGCCCAUAUGCUCGCCAUCCUGGGAGGUGGAAGGCCAGCUCUGAUCACAUCCAGCUGCUCAGGAUACGACUGAUCAGGUCCUCACUACCAUGUUUUUGGGCAAGAUACUUUUAGAAGAACACCUCAACCAGAUCAUGCUCUCAAAGACCCGAGCCUUCACUGAUGGCAGGCAAUAAUUUUGCAUUUUGGAGUAUCUUCUUACUCUUAUGCAUGGCAACAUUUAACAGCACACCACCAUCUGCCACAGAAGCACAGACCACUAAUGGCAUCAUAAGAAUAAAGACUGUCAGACAAAUCCUCCAACUCUGAUUUCCCAACAUGUGUGAAACCUGUCACAUCAGCAUCUCCAGCUCUAAGCUGGAGACAAAGGCCAUGGAAAAGACUCUUCAGAAGGCAGUAAGCCAUCAGUUCACC